rnacentral:antisense_RNA from 1 species
AGGUUGUCGUUGUUGAGGCUGUUGACGAAC